GAGUUUGAUCGUGGCUCAGGAUGAACGCUAGCGACAGGCCUAACACAUGCAAGUCGAGGGGCAGCGGGGAGGUAGCAAUACCUUUGCCGGCGACCGGCGCACGGGUGAGUAACACGUAUGCAAUCCACCUGUAACAGGGGGAUAACCCGGAGAAAUCCGGACUAAUACCCCAUAAUAUGGGCGCUCCGCAUGGAGGGUCCAUUAAAGAGAGCAAUCUUGGUUACAGACGAGCAUGCGCUCCAUUAGCCAGUUGGCGGGGUAACGGCCCACCAAGGCGACGAUGGAUAGGGGUUCUGAGAGGAAGGUCCCCCCACAUUGGAACUGAGACACGGUCCAAACUCCUACGGGAGGCAGCAGUGAGGAAUAUUGGUCAAUGGGCGAGAGCCUGAACCAGCCAAGUAGCGUGCAGGAUGACGGCCCUAUGGGUUGUAAACUGCUUUUAUAAGGGAAUAAAGUGAGUCUCGUGAGUACUUUUUGCAUGUACCUUAUGAAUAAGGACCGG
rnacentral:rRNA from 1 species